GAUGAACGCUGGCGGCGUGCCUAAUACAUGCAAGUCGAGCGAACAGACGAGGAGCUUGCUCCUCUGACGUUAGCGGCGGACGGGUGAGUAACACGUGGAUAACCUACCUAUAAGACUGGGAUAACUUCGGGAAACCGGAGCUAAUACCGGAUAAUAUAUUGAACCGCAUGGUUCAAUAGUGAAAGACGGUUUUGCUGUCACUUAUAGAUGGAUCCGCGCCGCAUUAGCUAGUUGGUAAGGUAACGGCUUACCAAGGCAACGAUGCGUAGCCGACCUGAGAGGGUGAUCGGCCACACUGGAACGGAGACACGGUCCAGAAUCCUACGGGAGGCAGCAGUAGGGAAUCUUCCGCAAUGGGCGAAAGCUUGACGGAGCAACGCCGCGUGAGUGAUGAAGGUCUUCGGAUCGUAAAACUCUGUUAUUAGGGAAGAACAAAUGUGUAAGUAACUAUGCACGUCUUGACGGUACCUAAUCAGAAAGCCACGGCUAACUACGUG
rnacentral:rRNA from 1 species